rnacentral:tRNA from 1 species
GCUAGAAUGGAAGGAACAGCAUCUGCCUUAUAAGCAGAGGGUCACUGGUUUGAACCCAGUAUCUCCCA